AUCCUAGUGCACGGGUUUUACGCGUAUCAGUGAGGAGAAAUCCGAGAUCGUGUUUUUGCUAGUUGAAAACUACCUACGUGACCACUCCAGAUGGCCUUAGGGUCGUCUGGGAAUUUUUGAACAACUUAAGUUG
rnacentral:snRNA from 1 species